ACUUGAGAUUAUUGAGAGCUCUCAGCUAGAGUUGUUCUGCUGUGCACAGCUCCUUCUUCUUCCACAGCGGAGGUGUCAAGUAUUUGAUUGCCAACCAAGGAUCCCCACCCUCCCUUUGCCCAGGUACAUCUCAGGUUCAGCAGCCCACAUGCAGAAGUGAGGCACCAGGACAAAUACCAGUAGCUGGGAUAAAGCCUGCAGGACACAUCCCACAGUCUGGGAAAGGCCACAAGCAUCAAUGGAAACACUCUGGCUGGAGAUAAGUGGCAGCUUCAGCUUUUAUGUUGCUCUGAAGAACAGGCACAGGAGGCACAGUGGAGGGAAGGGAGGUUUCUCCUGGCUUUGCUGUUGAACAGUGUGUUGGUUUUCUUGGAACCUGCAUCUGCAUCCAGCACCAUCGAGAAAAGGCAGUGCCUGGAAUGCGGGUGCAUCGCGCAGACGGCAGCAGGAGCGCGGCUGCGCCGGGUCCGCAGGACAUCCACACACACCUCGGCUCUGCUGCCAGCUCCCGGCCCGGGGGCAGAAUCCCUGGAGCAUCCCCGUACCUCUGUUGCCCUCCCAUCUUCUGUGCGUGAUCACAAGAGCUUUGAAGCAAAGCUUGUUCCAUCGUUACUGCUGGUGAACCAAACUUUGUCAGCAAUGACGAGGGGCACUCAACCUAAAAUAUCUCCAGAUACCUGCAAACAUUUAGGAAACCCCUGAGUUACAGUGUGAGCAAUGAGAAACAAAGAGAGAGCCCAGUGCUCAGCAGGAAGCAUGAGGAGGACCUUGCUUUGAUUGGGUCAUGUGGACAGUCUUCUGGCUGUGACACCCCAAUGUUCAGAAACUGAGAUUACCAAUUCUGGUCCUAUUUAAGACUGGGGAGAAAAUGCAAAAUUCUGAAAUGUUUGCAAGGUUGGAAAACAGCUUUCCACUAAGUUCUCCUCGGAUGAGAUUGCAGAAAUUCUUCUGUUUUCUUCUUCCUGCCUGGCUCUGUUACCAAGCAAUUCUGUUCACACUGUUCUCCAAGACAAAAUCUGAGCCAGACUGAGAUUUGUGUUGAUGGAUCCCUUGGGGUCAAGAUGAAUUUGAACCAAAGCACUGGAGGAAGGAAUAAAUAUAAACAGAACUGAGACAAAAAUGGAGAAAUGUUCUUCACACUUCUAGAAACUCCUGGGUGGAAAAAAAAAUUAGAAUUCAAUCAACAAAGGAAUGUGAAGAAGAGCAAAAGAAUGGUUCCAGAGGUGACUCUUCCCUGUCCAAGAGGCAGCAGGUGGGAAAAAGUGAAACUGCCUGUCCAAAAGCUCAAUAGUUGGCCUGCAGAAUAUUAUCAGCUUCUUCUUAACAUAGAGACCAGUCAUGAAGAAGAGCAGGAUUCCUGUAUUACUGGACUGUGAGAACAUUUCCAGAGUGAACAUUUAGACCCAGGUCUUAUGUUGACAUGGAUUUGGUCAAAGCAAUAAGUCAAGCAUUUUGAAGAAUAUGUAAAUGCAUUUUAGAAUUGUAGUCAAAAUGAUAAAUAUCUAAUUUUCAUAGGUCAGGAAACCUGAGCUCUAGCACUUAAUUACCUUCCAAAUAAAAGGAAAAUAGUGAUUGAUUGUUAUGGCAGAUUGUUCUGCUAAGUCAGUGUUUGGCCUCUGUUUUCUUCACUUUUGUCAUGUAUCAAAUGGAUGGUCUGUCAUUCUUCUCCAAAAGGGGGAAAGUGAUUAUUGUGUAAAGCCCAAAGGAGCUCUGUAUACAGGCAAGCUAAAAUAUGCUGCAAGUCGGGACACUUUCUCACCUGAGCAUACACUCUGUUUCCAAAACAAACACUGGCAUAACUGUAUUUGCUCAGUUUGUGCAGUUUUCCUUCAAAGUAUUUCAUGCUUCUUUUUUGUACUAGUCUUCUUGGACCAGUUCCCACUGACUGAAUCCAUGGAAGGCACCACCUUCUACUGGUCCUUACUGUGGGUAUUGGCAGGCACAGACUUCCUUGCAUCACUUUGGUUGCUCUGUGCCUCAGUUUACUCCUCCACUAAUGUAAGUUCUACUCUGACUCUUCCACAGUGCUUUUAUUCUUGGGACCUCAGAGCAAUUUUCUUUGCUAUCCUCUCUCAGACAGUCAAACCAUUACUAAAUCAGACACUUACCAUUUUUCCCUUCUCAAAGAUAAAAUGAUAGUAAUUCCUUUGCUCAUUAAAGUGUAAAUGGAGAGGAAUCCUGUUGAGUUCAGUGAUACUAUGAGAUGUAAAAGCACUGCAUGAGGUCAGAAUCUUCCCAUGUGAGUUACAAGUGCAAAAAACAGUGAGUAAAAAGCUUGAAUGGGUCAAGGAUCCCACUCCUGGGAACAACAGAGGGAAGAAAUAGAAGUAGCACCUGGAAAAUGCUGCUCUCAUCAAGAGAGGCCUCCUCCCCUGCAAAUAUCUGCUAACUCUAAUAUUAAACAAAUAGAAAUUUAUCCAUUAUGUGGAAUCAUCUUUUGCUUUUUUUCACAGAGACACUCGUAGAAGAGCUUGGACUUUAUUUUUCAUAAUAAUUUUUAAACAUAACUCUUGUUCUACCAGGAAAUUGUCAUUUCUUCAGCCAAGAACAUCUCAUCUGGAGUCUGAGGAGGGCUGGCAUUCUUUGUAACAGUGUGCAAAGACAGCCUAAACAUCUUAGCCUUCCCAGGCUGGAUCCAGCUCUGCUUUCAGCAAACCCCUUGGAUGCUCUUACUUGUCCUCCUGGCUGCAUGUGCUCCCAUA